rnacentral:rRNA from 1 species
CACGUAGGGGGGCGAGCGUUGUCCGGGAUUUAUUGGGCGUAAAGAGCUCGUAGGCGGCUCAGUAAGUCAGGUGUGAAAACUCCAGGCUCAACCUGGAGACGCCACUUGAUACUGCUGUGGCUAGAGUCCGGUAGGGGAGCAUGGAAUUCCUGGUGUAGCGGUGAAAUGCGCAGAUAUCAGGAGGAACACCUAUAGCGAAGGCAGCUUGCUGGGACGUUACUGACGCUAAGGCGCGAAAGCGUGGGGAGCGAACAGG